rnacentral:lncRNA from 1 species
UUGGAAAGAACUCAAGGAGACCAAGUGCAAAAGAGAAGAGCUUCAAGUUUAUUGAAGUUAUUUAUGCUUUCAAGGUAAAAAGAUCCUCAUUUAAUCCAUCUAAAAUUUAAAGUUGUAAUUUAUUUCAUUUAUAUUCAGGGCAUGUUUGGUUCAUUUAUUUUAGACUUUGGAAUCGGAAUGGAAUUCAUUGAUUCCGAUAGUUGCCGUUUGUUUUAUAGAAAUCGGAUUCCGAUUCCCAUUCCACUCUGGAAUGGAAAUGGCCAAAUCUAUUUAUGAUUUAAUCUGGCUUUGAAUUCUGGAUUGGCUCAUUCCAAAGUAAACUAUUCAAAAUCCUCUUUCAUCAACACCAACCUCCCCUCCUUCAUCACUUUCCUCUCUCUUAAUCAAAACUCUCUCUCAAAAAUUUUAAAUUUUCAUUCCGAUUUUCAUUCCAAUAAUGAACCAAACAUUUUUGGAUGAUUUGUUUUUUAAUUUUCCAUUUCAAAGCAAUCCAAUUUCAUUUUCCAUUCCUAUUCCAAUCAUGAACUAAACAGGCCCUUAGAAUUGA